CUUGUUUUGUUCUUCCAACCAACGGGCAUAUUCCACAUCAAAUGCCAUGGCCCCUGCAAAUGUGAAGUAGCUGAUGCUAUGCAACUUCAAACUGAAAAGAUAGCUAAAAGAAAACACACUUACUGCCAAAAAAUUGUUCAGGUUGUCUUUUGAAAGUAAAUAUCAUGAUUCAAGAUAGUUCAAAUACCAUUUCCAGCCAUUGAAUGGGCCUGAUCUCCUGAGCUUGAUAUGAAGAUUCCCUAAACAGAGGAACACAGUUUAUAGAAAUUUAACGAGACUCACAAUAUAUAGGUAAGUAACAGUCAUGAAAAGGAAAUGCAGGCAACCUGCUGCCGUGCCCGCUGAAGCUCCUGCUCUAGUUGGGUCAACUUUAAACGACUACUCUCCAGCUGUUGGACAUAUGCCUGCAUAGAGAUAAGAUCAGGGAACAAGUUGGAUUCAGUGAGACUCGUUAUUGUAAAUUUGAACUAAUCAAGUUUUCUUAAUUACUGAGAUUAUUUGAUAAGGUUAUAGACCAGCUUUCAUUAUAUAUAAUUUUCUGAAGAAAAAAAAAGAAGAAGAAGAAGAACCCAGAGGUACGAAAGCCAUUAUAUAAGGGAACCAAAGUAGUAGAAAAUAGCUCUCAUCAGAUGCCCUAAUAUGCUAAUAUUAAGCUGUUGCUCAUGUGAUCAGGGCGUUCGACCAAAUAAAUAUCCUCAAAGGCAUCAAAGCUAGCCAAAAAAACAAGACAAGAAUCAUGGCAGGAAUGAAGUCUUAAAAUUAACGAUGAGGAAGAGGGAGCUGUGUACUGAGGAAGGGAUAAAGAAAGAGGCAUUCAUCUUACACAGUAUCAAGAGGAUGAAUUUUAUGAUGGACAUGCCAGAGUUCAGAAUGUCAGUAAUGUAACUGAUGUAGCCUAAGUAGUCUCUAGUAGAAAUCCUUCCGGAACCAAGAUUGUGAAUAUAAUUAUAUAAUAAAAAAAAUUAUAUGUUUCAUACAAGA